AAUUUAGCCAGCUGUGGUGGCACAUACCUGUAAUCCCAGCUACUUGAGAGACUGAGGGAGGAGAAUCACUUGAACCAGGAGAUGGAGUUUGCAGUGAGCCGAGAUGGUGCCACUGUACUCCAACCUGGGUGACAGAGCGAGACUCUGUCUCCAAAAAAAAAAAAAAAAAAAAAAAAAAAGACAUUUCAAGCUGGAAGAUUUGGUUCCCUAACUUUGAGCCUAGCUCUUUCAUUAAAGUAAUAAUAAAAGUAGAACUCUACGUUUAUAUAAUGAUUUUGACUUUCCAAAGUGAUUUUCACAUCUCAGCAGUCCUGUGAAGGACUAAAUAAGGUGUUUCGGGGUAAACUUGGUAUUGUGUUUUGCAAAGAAGGUCCAAGGCCAUGCAGCUAUUUGGUGACAGAAUUGAAAGUAAAGCCUGAUUCUCUUGCUGCAAGGCGACUUUGCUAUGUAGAAGCCAGGGUCACUAGACAAGAUGCAGUCAACAAAUAAGUCUCCAGAACAUAUGACAUCUCCAGCCUAAACCAAGCUCACCUUUCCAUGCUGGCUCCCUCAUGCAGACGGAGGACAUUCGCUUGGAGCCAGAUCUAUACGAAGCCUGCAAGAGUGACAUCAAAAACUUCUGUUCCACUGUGCAAUAUGGCAACGCUCAGAUUAUCGAAUGUCUGAAAGAAAACAAGAAGCAGCUAAGCACCCGCUGCCACCAAAAAGUAUUUAAGCUGCAGGAGACAGAGAUGAUGGACCCAGAGCUAGACUACACCCUCAUGAGGGUCUGCAAGCAGAUGAUAAAGAGGUUCUGUCCAGAAGCAGAUUCUAAAACCAUGUUGCAGUGCUUGAAGCAAAAUAAAAACAGUGAAUUGAUGGAUCCCAAAUGCAAACAGAUGAUAACCAAGCGCCAGAUCACCCAGAACACAGGUAAGAUCUUGGCUUGGCUCUCCUGGCCCCGUGGAGUAUCUGAAAGGGAGUUCAGUGGCUGUAGAGUGACCUGCUCAAACUCCCAGGGCUUUGUUGCCUGGGAAUUUUAAGGGAGGAGUCUGAGUGUAAGCAGGGCCUUCCUCCUUUGAGGAGCAUCCAGAAAAAUGGAGGGAGAGUCAGGGGAGAGAGAGGCCACAAGAACCAGAAAACUGCCCUAAAAGAACGUUCAGAAGGAAUCAGGCCGGCAGUCCUUGGAAAGAAAAAUCUAGAAAUUCAAUAAAACUUCAUGAGUGUGCCAGGAGAAUGUACGGGUAAUCUGGUUCGGAACAGAAACAUUUCACCUCUGAGUUGGAAGACCUCGUAAGUUAAUGGUCACGGUGAGUUGGAUAUUGUAUUUCUUUUUCAGUGUUCUCAAAAGUAUCUGUUAUGGGGAAGGUUGCUGAUGUCCCCUUGAUUUUUCCGAGGACUCCUUAGAGUAUUGGAGUCUGCACAAAACCCCACAGAGUAGAAAUAUUCCUGAGGACUUCCAGAAGUACUCGUUAAUAAGUCAUAUUGCUGAUUAAAAACAGUGUAGUGAGAGCUCAGUAAAUGUUUAUUGAAUAGAUAAAUCCAUGGUUGUAGUCAUGAUCAUUGACGUAAUAUGCUCCCUUUAGGAAGGUGGAUAUCUAAAAAUGUGUGAAUCAGGUGGAAUGUUUUGUCACAUGCUCACUGCUUUCUACUCUAGAUUACCGCUUAAACCCCAUGCUAAGAAAAGCCUGUAAAGCUGACAUUCCUAAAUUCUGUCACGGUAUCCUGACUAAGGCCAAGGAUGAUUCAGAAUUAGAAGGACAAGUCAUCUCUUGCCUGAAGCUGAGAUAUGCUGACCAGCGCCUGUCUUCAGACUGCGAAGACCAGAUCCGAAUCAUUAUCCAGGAGUCCGCCCUGGACUACCGCCUGGAUCCUCAGCUCCAGCUGCACUGCUCAGAUGAGGUGGGAUUUGCGUGCAAAACUGGUUACGCACAGAGCUGCUCAGAGAAGUUUCCACUGGAGAAAAGUUGUUUACUUUCUCUCCCUUCAGCCGUGAAUGAUCUGGUGAAUUGAAGGCCAUCUUCUAGGCUCUCCAUGGUCUGCAUUCCUGUUCUUUGUAACACUGAAUUCAACUUGGCAUUAGUCCUGACACUCUAAAGCGUUGUUCCAUAUUUCUCUGUUGAACAAGGGUGUUCUUUCAUUAUAGCUCUCUGUAAAUUUGUUCUUCCCUUUUUCUUAUUCUGGAUGGUAAACCCAAGACCUGCCAGAAAGAUAAAAGUACUUUCAGCUGGGCAUGGUGGCUCACGCCUGUAAUCCCAACACUUUGGGAGGCCAAGGAGGGUGGAUCAUCUGAGGUCAGGAGUUCAAGACCAGCCUGGCUAACAUGGAGAAAUCUGUCUCUACUAAAAAUACAAAAAAUUAGCCAGGCGUGGUGGCGUGCACCAGUAAUCUCAGCUACUCAGGAGGCUGAGGCAGGAGAAUCACUUGAACCCGGGAGGCGGAGGUUGCAGUGAGCUGAGAUCAUGCCACUGCACCCCAGCCUGGGCGACAGAGGAAGACUCUGUCUG
rnacentral:sRNA from 1 species